rnacentral:lncRNA from 1 species
AGCCGCGUCCCAACACAUGGGCUUGCUUAACACUCUCUGAGAGAAGGAGGAGCCACCCCGCAGUGCUGUCUGGUCGCUUUUUCCCAUUUUUGCUCCAGGAUCCAGAGAUUUGAGCAGGGGUGGGGUGAGGUGGGGUGGCAGGGUUCCUCCCCUUCCUUAGGCCCAGCCAGAGAGGGGCCCUGUCUCUCUGCUCCUUUCCUCGCCGUCGCCCUCUCUCUGCCAGGCUCUCCUGUUCGUCCUCCAGGGGCCCACGCUAGCCCCUCACCUCCCCUGAAGCCUUUUCUAACCGCUGCGGCCUCCGUGGUCCCCCACGCCUGUGUUCCUGUAGGACGUUUACAGUUCACACGAUGUCUCAUCUCUCGGUAUAUGUCUCCCAGAAACGAAAAUGGACGGCCAUAUGUCACAAGAGAAUGAAAUCUUUGCUCCCAAUCCCUGUCUUCAGAGCUGACCUAGAAGCCAGCCACUCCACUCAGACCCAAUUCGGAUCACUAUGUUCGUGAGGACUUUAACAGCAUCAGACUAACUCUGGACUGUACAUGAACACCAGCAAUGAAGAGGAAGGAAACUUUGAAAAAUGUUAUACACUGGAGGAUUGGCUUUACUGUGGCUAUCUUUUAUGUCAACCCUGAAAUCUGUCUUUAUUAUUAAAAGAAGUUUAAUUUCAAA